rnacentral:rRNA from 1 species
CCUACGGGUGGCAGCAGUAGGGAAUUUUCGUCAAUGGGCGCAAGCCUGAACGAGCAAUGCCGCGUGAUCGAGGAAGGUCUUCGGAUCGUAAAGUUCUGUUGAAGGGGACAAAUAGCGGAGAUAGGAGAUGAACUCCGAUUGAUAUUACCCGUCCAGGAAGUCACGGCUAACUACGUGCCAGCAGCCUCGGUAAUACGUAGUUGGCGAGCGUUACCCGGAAUGAUGGGGCGUAAAGGGUGCGUAGGCGGCAUGCUAAGUCUGGAGUGAAAGGUAGCGGCUAAACCGGUAUAGGCUCUGGAAACUGGCGGGCUAGAGAGCAGGAGAGGGCGGUGGAACUCCAUGUGUAGCGGUAAAAUGCGUAGAUAUAUGGAAGAACACCAGUGGCGAAGGCGGCCGCCUGGCCUGUUACUGACGCUGAGGCACGAAAGCGUGGGGAGCAAAUAGGAUUAGAUACCCUAGUAGUC